rnacentral:rRNA from 1 species
CCCUUAGAUGUCCUGGGCCGCACGCGCGUUACACUGAUGCAUUCAACGAGCUUAUAACCUUGGCCGAGAGGCCUGGGCAAUCUUGUUAACGUGCAUCGUGAUAGGGAUAGAUUAUUGAAAUUAUUAAUCUUGAACGAGGAGUUCCUAGUAAACGCAGAUCAUCAAUCUGCAUUGAUUACGUCCCUGCCCUUUGUACACACCGCCCGUCGCACCUACCGAUUGGAUGGUCCGGUGAAGCCUCGGGAUUGUGGUUCUUGCCGCUUUAUUGUAGCGUGACCGCGAGAACUUGUCUAAACCUUAUCAUCUAGAGGAAGGUGAAGUCGUAACA